rnacentral:lncRNA from 1 species
GGUUUUACAAAGUGUCUGUAUGAACAUAACCACUUUUGGUAUGUUUGUAUAUAGAUGCUCUCGGUUACACAGGGAAUAAUGGUGUCAUGAUGGAGACAUUUAAGCAAUCUAUGAUGCAUGAAUUUGAAAUGAUAUUUCUCGGGUUAAUGCACUACUUCCUAGGCAUUGAAGUUCAUCAAUUUGCUGUUGGUAUCUUUGUUUGCUAAAAGAAAUAUGUGCAGACGAUCUUGGAGAAAUUUUAGUUCAAGGAUUGUAACUCGAUCACUACACCUGCAUAAGUUGGAUUAAAACUUGCCAAAAAUCUCAGAUGGAAGAGAAGUGAAUUGCACCAUGUACAAGCAAAUUGUGGGGAGUCUAAUGUACCUAACAAAAAUAAGGCUAGACAUCAUGGAUGGUGUUAGUCUCUUUAAUAGAUAUAUGCAGAACCCUACUGAGAAACAUCUUCAGGCUGUUAAGCAUAUUUUACACUAUUUGAAGGGAACCGCGUCUAUCGGAUUGUUUUUCAAGAAAGGAAGCUUAGAGUUAUUUGGUUUCAUUGACAUUGAUUAUGUUAGUGAUAUUGAAGACCGAAAAAAUGCCUCAAACUAUGUAUUCAGGCUUAGUUCAAUAGUUGUCUCAUGGUCGUCAAAGAAACAAUCUAUAGUUACAUUUUCAACAAUAGAAGCUAAAUUUGUGGCCGCUUCAUCAAAGUCCUUGUCAAGCUAUUUGGUUGGGGAAGAUUCCUCAACAACUUCAAUUCAAGUAGCAAGAAGCAAUAAUAAUUUUUUGUGACAGCAAUUUAGCCAUUAAAUUGUCAAAGAAUCCAGUUAUACAUAAGAGAAACAAACAUAUAAAUGUGAAAUAUCAUUUUUUGAAGGAUCUUACAAAAGAUGAUGUGAUUGACCUUGUUUUCUGUAGAAGUGAAGAUCAAGUUGUUGAUUUGUUCACAAAGUCUCUCAAAAUUGCUACAUUUCAGAAGCUAAGGAAACUCCUUGGAGUUUGUUCAAUGGAUGCCUCAUAAUAAAUGAGAG